CCUACGGGACGCAGCAGUAGGGAAUUUUCGGCAAUGGGGGGAACCCUGACCGAGCAACGCCGCGUGAACGAAGAAGUUAUUCGUAAUGUAAAGUUCUUUUAUCAGGGAAGAAAGAGGAAUUUGACGGUACCUGACGAAUAAGCCACGGCUAACUACGUGCCAGCAGCCGCGGUAAUACGUAGGUGGCAAGCGUUAUCCGGAUUUAUUGGGUGUAAAGGGCGUGUAGGCGGGAAUGCAAGUCAGAUGUGAAAACUAUGGGCUCAACCCAUAGCCUGCAUUUGAAACU
rnacentral:rRNA from 1 species